rnacentral:lncRNA from 1 species
GGGGGCGAGGGGAAGGGGAGCUGGGAAGGGCGGAGGGGGCGAGCGAGACCCCGAGCGGAGAGAAAGGCCCGCGGAGACAGACCGAGACCGAGCGCGGCCGGCCGGGCGGGCCUGACGCACGGGGAAGGCCGAGGCCGCCGGGCGGGGCGGCCGCGAGGGACGGAGGCAGGAGACGGGCAGAGCGAGGGGAAGAAAGAAAGGGCGUCCGCCCGCCCGGGGAUCCCGAGGCGAAGCGCGGCGUCGGCGGGGAAACACUACUUGGAAUCCAUCUUGUCCUAACAAGAAGCUUUAUCCUAAAAUCAGCAACUCUCAUGAACACAAGAUGGUUACCUACAACAGCUCCAAAAAGUACAUGUUCCCUCAUCCACAUCUAGAGAGAAUGAAUUAGUCCCAGCAGCCCCACAAGUAUCCUGAUAUUCACUUGCUUGAAUCACAUGCCUGCCCUGGAACCAAAAGUCGUGCACGGGAAGAUGGAAUGUGAUGGUUGGUUUCAACUAACCAGGCAGUGGGUCAGCUUCCCUGGAAGCACCUGGGCUGCAUGGGGAGAGGCAGAUUCCUCAAAUGACAAUCAAGAGACUGUGGAAGAGAGAAAGCAGAGCUUAAGACACUAAGGAGACUACCAACAAAAGUCCAUUUUGUAGCUAUUAUUAUUGGCUUUCUUGGCUCUUAGCCCUUGGCUCUUGGCUAUUCCUUUGGAAAUCAUUUAAAAAAAAAAAAAACAAGAUCUUAUUUUGAGUAAGUGUUUUCUUUCUAGCAAAGGAAGAUCAAUAAGUAUAAAGGUAAGUUUAAUGUAACGGCCAUUAGGCAUCUGGAACACCAGCCAAACAAGCAGCAAAAUGCAUUGAAUAAAGAUGUUUAUCAGGAACA